UUCCUGAACCGUGGCCACCCCUAUUGAAAAGUUUAGGGGCUUUUUGGCCUUUGACAUCUUAUUUUAAAGAAUAGACGGGCAUAUUGAAAAUAUUGGAAAUGUUGAUUACAAUCAAGGAUUAAAUAGAUUACAGAUGCUUUUGUUUAAUGUGAUUUAUUUUGGAUUUUAACUUGAAAUUUCUUAAGAAGCUUAGUGGGGUAAGGCAAUUGUUUUGAAAGAAGCUGACCUAAAUGAAUUUAGUUGUGUCAUCUUGAAACAAGCACUGGUGGCAUUUGGCUGUGUAAAGUUCAGGGGGAAGAGCACAAGCGUGGAACACGAUUGCCAUUGUUUUAUUUCUGGUUUUUGUGUCAAAACCUAUACACCAGAUGUGUCGCAACCCCUUCUAAUACUACCAAUAUAAGUUAGAUGUAAUUUCAUUUGCCUUCUAGGCAAACUAACUGGUCAAUGCCAUUGAUAUUCUAUAUGAGAAUGGUGCAGCUUUGAUUUGCACCUGAAGAUAAUAAAUGUAUAUAACUCUCAUCAGUCUUG
rnacentral:misc_RNA from 1 species